GGACUACCGGGGUAUCUAAUCCUGUUUGCUCCCCACGCUUUCGCGCCUCAGCGUCAGUAUCGGACCAGUUGGCCGCCUUCGCCACUGGUGUUCUUGCGAAUAUCUACGAAUUUCACCUCUACACUCGCAGUUCCACCAACCUCUUCCGAACUCAAGACUCCCAGUAUCGAAGGCAAUUCCAGGGUUGAGCCCUGGGCUUUCACCUCCGACUUAAAAGUCCGCCUACGCGCCCUUUACGCCCAGUGAUUCCGAGCAACGCUAGCCCCCUUCGUAUUACCGCGGCUGCUGGCAC
rnacentral:rRNA from 1 species